AAGCAAGCGUGACUUUUUCUACCAUGUCCAGAAGUGUAGCUCUGGUGUUUUUGCUCAUUUUUGUCAUCCAACUUUUUGAUAAUGAUGCAGAUGCAACUCUUGAUAUACCCAUGAAGUACGUACGCCGCUGCAGAUGCAAGGGUAUUUCAACUGUCAGCCGUAAAAUGAAAUGCCCCAUUCCACUCGUGCCCCUCAAACACAAGGACAAACUGGAGCUGUACCAAUGCCUCUGC